rnacentral:rRNA from 1 species
AGUGAACGCUGGCGGUAGGCCUAACACAUGCAAGUCGAACGGCAGCACAGUAAGAGCUUGCUCUUACGGGUGGCGAGUGGCGGACGGGUGAGGAAUACAUCGGAAUCUACUUUUUCGUGGGGGAUAACGUAGGGAAACUUACGCUAAUACCGCAUACGACCUACGGGUGAAAGCAGGGGAUCUUCGGACCUUGCGCGAUUGAAUAAGCCGAUGUCGGAUUAGCUAGUUGGCGGGGUAAAGGCCCACCAAGGCGACGCUCCGUAGCUGGUCUGAGAGGAUGAUCAGCCACACUGGAACUGAGACACGGUCCAGACUCCUACGGGAGGCAGCAGUGGGGAAUAUUGGACAAUGGGCGAAAGCCUGAUCCAGCCAUACCGCGUGGGUGAAGAAGGCCUUCGGGUUGUAAAGCCCUUUUGUUGGGAAAGAAAAGCAGCAGGUUAAUACCCCGCUGUUCUGACGGUACCCAAAGAAUAAGCACCGGCUAACUUCGUG